UACCUAGCGGCGGACGGGUGAGUAAUGCUUAGGAAUCUGCCUAUUAGUGGGGGACAACAUUCCGAAAGGAAUGCUAAUACCGCAUACGUCCUACGGGAGAAAGCAGGGGACCUUCGGGCCUUGCGCUANNNNNUGAGCCUAAGUCGGAUUAGCUAGUUGGUGGGGUAAAGGCCUACCAAGGCGACGAUCUGUAGCGGGUCUGAGAGGAUGAUCCGCCACACUGGGACUGAGACACGGCCCAGACUCCUACGGGAGGCAGCAGUGGGGAAUAUUGGACAAUGGGGGGAACCCUGAUCCAGCCAUGCCGCGUGUGUGAAGAAGGCCUUUUGGUUGUAAAGCACUUUAAGCGAGGAGGAGGCUACUAGUAUUAAUACUACUGGAUAGUGGACGUUACUCGCAGAAUAAGCACCGGCUAACUCUGUGCCAGCAGCCGCGGUAAUACAGAGGGUGCGAGCGUUAAUCGGAUUUACUGGGCGUAAAGCGUGCGUAGGCGGCUGAUUAAGUCGGAUGUGAAAUCCCUGAGCUUAACUUAGGAAUUGCAUUCGAUACUGGUCAGCUAGAGUAUGGGAGAGGAUGGUAGAAUUCCAGGUGUAGCGGUGAAAUGCGUAGAGAUCUGGAGGAAUACCGAUGGCGAAGGCAGCCAUCUGGCCUAAUACUGACGCUGAGGUACGAAAGCAUGGGGAGCAAACAGGAUUAGAUACCCUGGUAGUCCAUGCCGUAAACGAUGUCUACUAGCCGUUGGGGCCUUUGAGGCUUUAGUGGCGCAGCUAACGCGAUAAGUAGACCGCCUGGGGAGUACGGUCGCAAGACUAAAACUCAAAUGAAUUGAC
rnacentral:rRNA from 1 species